UUCCUGCUUGAUUUUUGUGGGA
rnacentral:piRNA from 1 species